GGAGGUAGUGACAAUAAAUCACAAUGCGGAACCUUUGGUUUUGCAAUUGGAUUGAGAAGAAGGUACAAAUCAUAUCGAUAAACAAUUGGAGGGCAAGUCUGGUGCCAGCAGCCGCGGUAAUUCCAGCUCCAAUAGCGUAUAUUAACGUUGUUGCAGUUAAAAAGCUCGUAGUUGAAGUUGGAUGAGUAUUUGAAUUCAAUUUUCGAAUUGGUUUCAAAUCCUUAUCAUUUCUAGUAGUUAUGCUUGGGUAUUCAAUUACUUGAGUAUGAUAGCUAGUCAUUUACUGUGAGAAAAUUAGAGUGUUUAAAGCAGACGUUUGUUUGAAUAGAUUAGCAUGGAAUAAUAAUGAUAUGCUUGAUUUCAUUGAUUGGUUAUGAAAGAUAGCAAGAUUAAAAGGGACAGUUGGGGGUAUUCAUAUUCAAUAGUUAGAGGUGAAAUUCUCGGAUUUAUGGAAGAUGAACAAGUGCGAAAGCA
rnacentral:rRNA from 1 species